rnacentral:rRNA from 1 species
UACAGAGGUCCCGAGCGUUGUUCGGAUUCACUGGGCGUAAAGGGUGCGUAGGUGGUGAGGUAAGUCGGAUGUGAAAUCUCCGGGCUCAACCCGGAAAUGGCAUUGGAAACUACCUUGCUAGAGGAUUUGAGGGGGGGGAUUGGAAAUACUUGGUGUAGCAGUGAAAUGCGUAGAGAUCGGGCGGAACACCAGCGGCGAAGGCGGCGACCUGGGCCAAUAUUGACGCUGAGGUGCGAAAA